UGUGUAUGAUGAAACUUUUGACCCCGAUAAUAGCUGAGGGUAAAAGCUGAUUUAAUGAGCCUGAUGC